GACAGCGUGGUGUAGAGGUUUGAGUGUUGGACUAUGAUUCUGAAGACCAGGGUUUCAAAUCCCUGCUCCGCCA